GGCCGUCGGGCAACUCGUAGCUCUUCUCCAGGGAAGAGGAAGAGGCGGCAGUGGCCAUCUCAUUCUCAAAGUCCAGAGCCACAUAGCACAGCUUCUCCUUGAUGUCACGGACAAUCUCACGCUCAGCUAUAAACAGAGUUUUAAUGCAGGGAGACGUGUGGCUGCUCUGCAUACUUUACUCAAAAGAGGCCCGUCUGUGCAAGCAGAUAUCCUGCCAUAGCUGGCCCUUGAGCUUAUGUUGAGCCGAGUGGCAGUCACUGAGGGAAGGCCUGCUUCUCCAUCAGCUUGCGGAAGAGCCCCUGGUCGUUGGCAAGGAGCUUGGCGUGGCUGCCGAUCUCCAUCACACGGUGCUGGUCCAGCACGGCCACGGCAUCAGCGCUUUGGAUGGUAGAGAGACGCUUCAGUUCUCACCUGAAUCAGGAUCAUAGAGCCGGAGCAACAGUGACACAAGUGUGGAUUUGCCUGAACCACUGGAUCCCACUACUGCCAUUACUGACCCCGCUGGCACAUACAGAUUCAGAUUUUGGAAGAUGGGUGAAUCCUUCCUCGUCGGACUACAAAAAUUAUAAAGCAUGCCUUGGGACCACAGACUGUAAAAAAAGAGCGACGAUGCAGCUCCAAUUCCUUCCACUAUAGAAAAGUGUCAUCAACUGUGAUCUUGCGAAAAUAACGUCUUUUGGAGGCAGAGGCUGUGCAGAAGUGAUCGUGAGGUGGAGCCGUCAUAUCAAAGUCCCGCCCAAGCUCCCGCAGACCCAAUAGUAAGAUCACAAUCGUGACACCACACCCCACUUAAGAGAUGAUAAGAACUACCUAAAAUUAUCGAAACCAUCUUUGGAAAAAAUUUACUUGUUUUUUGCUUUAGUUCUACAGUGUUUGCUCAUUUAAAACUUUGUGUAAUUUAUUAGUCAUUAUAAAAAUAAAGCAUGCAAUAAGCAAGUUUAUAUAAUGGUAUGACACAUGAAAAUUUUAGGAUUCUUUGAUAAAUAGAAAGUUUAAAAGACAGCAUUUAUUUGAAAAAGAAACCUUUUUAACAGUAUAAAUGUGUUUGGUGUAGUGCUGUCAAAAGAUUAAUCGCGAUUAAUUGCAUCCCCAAAAACUUUUCUGAAAUAUAUAAAUGCAAGUGUGUGUAUUUAUAUAUACAUAAAAAAUAUGCACAACACACACACAUAUAUUACGUGACAAAAACUUUUAUUUCGGAUGCGAUUAAUCGCGAUAGUGUAUAUUCAGUUUCUCUGUGCUAACAUCCUCACCUGCGAUGCUGAUGCCCACCCAGAAGGCAUACAUGAGGAAAGAGGAGAGCUGCCCAAUGGUCAUGGCCUCACUGGCCAUCAGCAGACCUCCCUUAUACAACACACUCAGGAUGAUGACAUUUCCACUCAGUCCUGUCUGUGAAAGAAAUGAAAACAUCAGAGCAUACGGUACUAGACAAAUAAUCUUAACCUGACUUUCUGAUUCUGAAAAUGAUUACCUUUAAUCAUGCAUACAACUUUUUAUUUCAUAUUUGUACAACAGUUAAGUAUCUCACCACUCCAUAGAAUCCAGCAGAAAGCACAGCCUCUUUCUUAGCCAGUUCAAAAAUAUAGUCAACCUUUUCCGAGUACUUCUGCACCUCCGUCAGCUCUUUUCCAAAAGCCCGGACUGUCCGUAUGUUGCUGAUCCUCUCUUCUGCCAACUAGGAGAUGCAGAGUAGCUACACAGUAAAAUUAUCCCUUGGAUACUUGAUGUCUUUAUGCUAACAAUAGAGCAAUUAAUUCAGCAAUCAAAUGAUAACUGUCCAAGGCUUACUACCAUAUCUAUGCUUUUUAUUGCACAGCAAUAAAACGUGCAAUAAAGCCCCAAUAUAAGGAAACAUGACCUCUUACCUGUGUAGCCUCUGCCAACGCAUCCUGUGUGCGCCUUGAUAUGGAUCGUAAAAAUUUACCAAAAAUUACAGCCAGGCAGGCAAUAGGAGGAACAACCAUCAGCACAAAAGCUGCCAGACUAGGUGAAACAUACAACUGAGGAAGAGAAAGAUAAAGUACAAAUAUUGAAUUAGUCAGUGAUUAAUGUAGAUGCAUUCUGAACUUCAAACAUGAGACAUAUACUGUAAGGUUCCAUGAGGAAUUAUUAAAAGAAAUCAAAGUGCAUCAACAUAAGAAUCACUGUUUUGCUGUUUAUUCUGUUUUUAAAAACACAUCAGGAAGUAAUAAGAUUUAAGAAAGUCAAAAUGGUUAAAAUUUGAUAUUGGCAGGAAUUAGCUGCUGAAAAGUGAAGUGUAUGUCAAACUAACAUAAGCAUCUCACCAUCAUGCCAACUCCGGCCCCUGCCUGGGCAAGGGAACGCAGCCCAUCAGAAAGGUUGUCAGUGAGGCAGCGGCCGACGAUGGUGGUGUCUGCCGAAAGGCGGUUAAUGAGCUCACCAGUUCGGGUCUUAUCAAAGAAACCCACCUCCUGCUUCAGAAUCGAGGAGAAAAGGGAUUCACGCAACUUUCGCACAAUCUCUUGCCCUGUGAAAGUCGAGAAAUGCUUUUAGACAGCAAGCAUAGAAAUGCAUGCUGGUCAACACAAUGAAUCUGAUGAAAUGAUUUUAAUUUAUUGAUUUAAUAAGACUGAACUAGACCCAGGUUUUACAAAACAAAUAAAUUCAAUCAGUAAAUAAAUAUGGUACUAUUCAAAAGCUUGGGGUUGAUAAAAACAUUUGGGAUUUUUUUGAAUGAAGAUUCUUAUGCUAACCAGACUUCAUUUAUUUGAUUAAUAAAUACAGUAAAAUAGUAAUAUUUUUAAAUAUUAUUACAAUUUAAAAUAACUAUUUUCCAUUUAAAAUGUUAAAUUCCAGUGUUAUUUAAAAUUUAAUUUAAUCCUGUCUUGGCAAAGAUCACAUGAUCCUUCAGAAAUCAUUCUAAUAUGCUGAUUUCAAAAAACAUUUCUUAUUAUUAUCAGUGCUGAAAAGAGUUGCUUAAUAUUUUUGUGGAAACUGUGAUACAUUUUUUUUCAGGAUUCUGAAGAAAGAACAGCAUUUAUUUGAAAUAAAAAUAUUUUGUAACAUCAUAAA